rnacentral:rRNA from 1 species
UACGUAGGGUGCGAGCGUUGUCCGGAAUUACUGGGCGUAAAGAGCUCGUAGGUGGUUUGUCGCGUUGUUCGUGAAAACUCACAGCUCAACUGUGGGCGUGCGGGCGAUACGGGCAGACUGGAGUACUGCAGGGGGAGACUGGAAUUCCUGGUGUAGCGGUGGAAUGCGCAGAUAUCAGGAGGAACACCGGUGGCGAAGGCGGGUCUCUGGGCAACAACUGACGCUGAGGAGCGAAAGCGUGGGGAGCGAACAGG